CCUACGGGAGGCAGCAGUAAGGAAUAUUGGUCAAUGGACGAAAGUCUGAACCAGCCAUGCCGCGUGAAGGAUUAAGGCCCUCUGGGUUGUAAACUUCUUUUAUCUGGGACGAAAAAAGGGUAUUCUUACUCACUUGACGGUACCAGAGGAAUAAGCACCGGCUAACUCCGUGCCAGCAGCCGCGGUAAUACGGAGGGUGCAAGCGUUAUCCGGAUUUACUGGGUUUAAAGGGUGCGUAGGUGGGCUUGUAAGUCAGUGGUGAAAUCUCCGGGCUUAACCCGGAAACUGCCAUUGAUACUAUAGGUCUUGAAUUAUCUGGAGGUAAGCGGAAUAUGUCAUGUAGCGGUGAAAUGCUUAGAUAUGACAUAGAACACCAAUUGCGAAGGCAGCUUACUACGGAUAUAUUGACACUGAGGCACGAAAGCGUGGGGAUCAAACAGGAUUAGAUACCCUGGUAGUCCACGCCCUAAACGAUGGAUACUCGACAUCAGCGAUACACUGUUGGUGUCUGAGCGAAAGCAUUAAGUAUCCACCUGGGAAGUACGAUCGCAAGAUUGAAACUCAAAGGAAUUGACGG
rnacentral:rRNA from 1 species